rnacentral:lncRNA from 1 species
AAAGUAUCAAGCAAAAAAAAUUUAGCUUGUAUUCAGCUCGUUAAGAAAUGAGUCGAACACGAGCUGCCUCACGAGAUGGCGAACGAACAAUAAGUUAAAUAGAUUAGAUUGAAUAUAUAUAAAAAAUAAAUUUAUAAAAUCUUACCGAUUAGAUAUUGAUCUACUGGUUGACUCAUUUGCAUGUAAAUGAGUCUUUUUAUAAUUAAGCUCGACUUUAUAUAUUAUUUUGCUAAAAUUCAAAUAAUAUAUAUAUAUAAUUAUUUAUUUAUAUAUAUAAAUAUAAAAAAUAUAAAUUUAAUAAAUUAUAUAAAUAUAAAAUAUAUAUAUUCAAAUAUUU